CUAAAGUAAGAAAAUUCAAAAAAAAAGAAGUCAGUGGUUGUUCUCGAAUUUUGUCCCCAGCCAGUCAGCAUUAGGGUUUUAAACCCUAAACUGAACUUUUUCCUUUCAGCCAGCAUUAGGGUUUUAAACCCUAAACUGAGCUUUUCCAUGUAAUCAGCAUUAGGGUUUUAAACCCUAAACUGAAUUUUCCUUUUAGUCAGCAUUAGGGUUUUAAACCCUAAACUGAACUUUUUCCUUUUAGCCAGCAUUAGGGUUUUAAACCCUAAACUGAAUUUUCCUUUUAGUUAGCAUUAGGGUUUUAAACCCUAAACUGAACUUUUUCCUUUCAGCCAGCAUUAGGGUUUUAAACCCUAAACUGAGUUUUUCCAUGCAAUCAGCAUUAGGGUUUUAAACCCUAAACUGAAUUUUUCCUUUAGUCAGCAUUAGGGUUUUAAACCCUAAACUGAACUUUUCCUUUAAUCAGCAUUAGGGUUUUAAACCCUAAACUGAAUUUUUCCUUCGUUCGGCGUUAGGGUUUUAAACCCUAAACUGAACCUUUCCCCAGCUAGUCGGUAUUAGGGCUCCAACCCUGAACUGAGCAUGCAUAUCCUCUUUCAUCAAUUUUAUGAACUUCC
rnacentral:lncRNA from 1 species